rnacentral:misc_RNA from 1 species
UGAGCAAAUGAGGCCACUCCC